GAUGAACGCUGGCGGCGUGCCUAAUACAUGCAAGUCGAGCGAACAGACGAGGAGCUUGCUCCUCUGACGUUAGCGGCGGACGGGUGAGUAACACGUGGAUAACCUACCUAUAAGACUGGGAUAACUUCGGGAAACCGGAGCUAAUACCGGAUAAUAUAUUGAACCGCAUGGUUCAAUAGUGAAAGACGGUUUUGCUGUCACUUAUAGAUGGAUCCGCGCCGCAUUAGCUAGUUGGUAAGGUAACGGCUUACCAAGGCGACGAUGCGUAGCCGACCUGAGAGGGUGAUCGGCCACCCUGGAACUGAGACACGGUCCAGACUCCUACGAGAGGCAGCCGUAGGGAAUCUUCCGCAAUGGGCGAAAGCCUGACGGAGCCACGCCGCGUGAGUGAUGAAGGUCUUCGGAUCGUAAAACUCUGUUAUUAGGGAAGAACAAGUGUGUAAGUAACUAUGCACGUCUUGACGGUACCUAAUCAGAAAGCCACGGCUAACUACGUG
rnacentral:rRNA from 1 species